rnacentral:rRNA from 1 species
GAUGAACGCUGGCGGCGUGCUUAACACAUGCAAGUCGAACGAGAAAUGUAGACGGAUACCUUCGGGCGGAAGCCUUCAUUUCGAGGGGCGGACGGGGGAGUAACGCGUGUGGAACCUGCCUCAUACAGGGGGAUAACAGUUGGAAACGACUGUUAAUACCGCAUAAGACCACAGCAUCGCAUGAUGCGGUGGUUAAAACUCCGGUGGUAUGGGAUGGACCCGCGUUCGAUUAGCCUGUUGGCGGGGUAACGGCCCACCAAAGCGACGAUCGAUAGCCGAGCGGAGAGGAGGCCCGGCCACAACUGGGCUGAGACACAGACCAAACUCCUACGGGAGGCAGCAGUGGAGAAUAUUGCACAAUGGGGCAAACCCUGAUGCAGCGGCGUCGGGUGAGUGAAGAAGUACGUCGGUAUGUAAAGCUCUAUCAGCAGGGAAGAGAAUGACGGUACCUGAGUAAGAAGCCCCGGCUAACUACGUG